rnacentral:rRNA from 1 species
AUUGAACGCUGGCGGCAGGCCUAACACAUGCAAGUCGAGCGGAUGAAGGGAGCUUGCUCCUGGAUUCAGCGGCGGACGGGUGAGUAAUGCCUAGGAAUCUGCCUGGCAGUGGGGGAUAACGUCCGGAAACGGGCGCUAAUACCGCAUACGUCCUGAGGGAGAAAGUGGGGGAUCUUCGGACCUCACGCUAUCAGAUGAGCCUAGGUCGGAUUAGCUAGUUGGUGGGGUAAAGGCCUACCAAGGCGACGAUCCGUAACUGGUCUGAGAGGAUGAUCAGUCACACUGGAACUGAGACACGGUCCAGACUCCUACGGGAGGCAGCAGUGGGGAAUAUUGGGCAAUGGGCGAAAGCCUGAUCCAGCCAUGCCGCGUGUGUGAAGAAGGUCUUCGGAUUGUAAAGCACUUUAAGUUGGGAGGAAGGGCAGUAAGUUAAUACCUUGCUGUUUUGACGUUACCAACAGAAAAAGCACCGGCUAACUACGUG